UACAGAGGGUGCAAGCGUUGUUCGGAAUUAUUGGGCGUAAAGCGCGUGUAGGCGGCUUGGCAAGUCGGGUGUGAAAUCCCUCAGCUUAACUGAGGAAGUGCGCCCGAAACUGCCGAGCUUGAGUACCGGAGAGGGUGGCGGAAUUCCCCAAGUAGAGGUGAAAUUCGUAGAUAUGGGGAGGAACACCGGUGGCGAAGGCGGCCACCUGGACGGAUACUGACGCUGAGACGCGAAAGCGUGGGGAGCAAACAGGG
rnacentral:rRNA from 1 species